GGAGAGCUGACCGAGCGGCCGAAGGUGGCGGUCUUGAAAACCGCUGUGCAGGUGAUCCCUGCACCGAGGGUUCGAAUCCCUCGCUCUCCG
rnacentral:tRNA from 1 species